rnacentral:rRNA from 1 species
UACGGGGGGGGCAAGCGUUGUUCGGAAUUACUGGGCGUAAAGGGCUCGUAGGCGGCCAACUAAGUCAGACGUGAAAUCCCUCGGCUUAACCGGGGAACUGCGUCUGAUACUGGAUGGCUUGAGUUCGGGAGAGGGAUGCAGAAUUCCAGGUGUAGCGGUGAAAUACGUAGAGAUUGGGAAGAACACCAGUGGCGAAGGCGGCUAUCUGGACGGUUUCUGACGCUAAGACGCGAAAGCGUGGGGAGCAAACAGG